UACGUAGGGUGCAAGCGUUGUCCGGAAUUAUUGGGCGUAAAGAGCUCGUAGGCGGUCUGUCGCGUCUGCUGUGAAAACCUGGGGCUUAACCCCGGGCCUGCAGUGGGUACGGGCAGACUAGAGUGCGGUAGGGGAGACUGGAAUUCCUGGUGUAGCGGUGAAAUGCGCAGAUAUCAGGAGGAACACCGGUGGCGAAGGCGGGUCUCUGGGCCGAUACUGACGCUGAGGAGCGAAAGCGUGGGGAGCGAA
rnacentral:rRNA from 1 species